AGGUAAAACAAUGUGGAGUCUCUUUUAUUGGCAUGUUUCUGUCUUGGUAAGCAUGCAUCAAACAGGCUUAGGUUGGUUAGAACAAGGUGUAGCGGUCAAGAGAUGAUGCUGUAAGAUUAUUAGACUGCUGUUAUUUCUGGUCUGCAUGCAUUUCUGGCCGGACCAGCUGGUUAACUGAUGCGGCACUGUGUCAGUGAAACUGGGGCAAUAUUCUCAUUGCUGUAUACUAUUGUUACACAUACGAUUUCAUAGUUUGGCAAGUAUCACCAAAUUUGUGGUUAAGUCAUUUCUGAAUAAUGUUUAGUUUCCCGCUUGGCAUGCUUCUUUACAUCAAUCGAUCAGAUUCACCGCCGUUGGCCAGAGUUGCGCCUAAUUCAUACUGAUGUUAAGGAUGAACUCUCUGUUUUCUAAUAGGUCAGACUGGAUUCUGUGUUCUGUCCAUGCCCUGUUCACUGGCAUUGCCUCUUGAUUCCCCUCUUAAGUAGAAGAUCCACACUAAGCAUAGCAAGUCCACUAGAGGAGCAAAUGUUGUUUAUCACCGCAUCUCUUCUCAUGUUGACAAGCAAGCCAGAUAUAUAUGAAGGCACCAUACAAGGCGGCGACGGCGUACCCGCUCAAUACCUGCAGCCCCUGGUACGGACAGGAAAAUAUGCUGAGCUUCUCGGCCUCGACGACGUCGUCGUGCCUCUCUCUAAAAUGGCAGAUCUGUUUGUUUCUCUGGUGGGACUGCAGUUCUUCCGAAGCUUUGCUUUUCGCGAUGAGGAGAUUCGAGUGCAUCUUAAUUAUUGACACCUCAUUCUAUGACAAGCUCGGCAAGAAAGGCGGCAGCUGACGGGACGAUGUACCGAGGCCUGCGGCGGACUCAGCAGGAUGGAAAGCAGCGAGCAACGAUGCAUACUUCACGGAAGCCUACUGUUUCUCCUCGCCAAGACCUAAGAUAGCAUGAGGUCCGCGCAGAUAGAGGCACUCAUGCAGGAAAGAGACGAGGGAGCAGCUGGUGGUCCGGACGACGAAGAUCAGCUGAACGUUGGCUCCCAUGAAGUUGAUUGAUUGUGCCUCCGCUUUUGUGCCGCUUGCGUUGCUUUUGAACCACUGUCAUUUGUGUCAUUGGUGAUGUAAACU